rnacentral:rRNA from 1 species
GAUGAACGCUGGCGGCGUGCCUAAUACAUGCAAGUCGAACGAACGGACGAGAAGUUUGUUUCUCUGAUCUUUGCGGAGGACGGGUGAGUAACACGUGGAUACUCUACCUAUAAGUCUGGGAUAACUUCGGGAAACCGGAGAUAAUACCGGACAAUAUUUUGAACCGUAUGGUCCAAAAGUGAAAGACGGUCUUGCUGUCACUUAUAGAUGGAUCCGAGCUGCAUUAGCUAGUUGGUAAGGAAACGGCUUACCAAGGCAACGAUGCAUAGCCGACCUGAGAGAGUGGUCGGCCACACGGGAAGGGAGACAGCGUCAAGACUCCUGCGGGAGGCAGCAGUAUGGAAUCGGCCGCAGAAGUCGAGAGCCUUGCGGAGCGGCGCCGAGUGAGUGAUAGAGGUCUUCCGAGCGUGAAGCUCGGUUAUUGGUUGUGAACAUAUUUGUGAGUAAAUGUACACAUCUUGACGGUACCUAAACAGAAAGCCACGGCUAACUACGUG